GUUGAUGGCACAGAUCUAUAACUCCAGCUACCAGAGGGCUUAGCCUAGUAUAUCUCUUGACCCCUGGAGUUCUAAGCUGCUACAAGCUGUGCCAGUUAGUGUUCAUAGGAAGUCUGGCAUCAAUAUGGAGGCUUGGGAGCAGGAGGCCACCACGUUGCCUGAGGAAAAGCAAACCAGCCCAGGUUGGAGACAAGAGCAGGUUAAAGCUUCUGUGCCAUUCAAUAGUGGGAUCAGGCCUAUGAGUAGUCCUUGUAGUUCCAGCCUGGGCAACAUGGAGAGACCCAGUCUUAA
ensembl:misc_RNA Metazoa_SRP Metazoan signal recognition particle RNA